rnacentral:rRNA from 1 species
AGUGAACGCUGGCGGUAGGCCUAACACAUGCAAGUCGAGCGGCAGCACAGUAAGAGCUUGCUCUUACGGGUGGCGAGUGGCGGACGGGUGAGGAAUACAUCGGAAUCUACUUUGUCGUGGGGGGUAACGGAGGGAAACUUACGCUAAUACCGCAUACGACCUACGGGUGAAAGCAGGGGAUCUUCGGACCUUGCGCGAUUGAAUGAGCCGAUGUCGGAUUAGCUAGUUGGCGGGGUAAAGGCCCACCAAGGCGACGAUCCGUAGCUGGUCUGAGAGGAUGAUCAGCCACACUGGAACUGAGACACGGUCCAGACUCCUACGGGAGGCAGCAGUGGGGAAUAUUGGACAAUGGGCGCAAGCCUGAUCCAGCCAUACCGCGUGGGUGAAGAAGGCCUUCGGGUUGUAAAGCCCUUUUGUUGGGAAAGAAAAGCAGCAGGUUAAUACCCCGCUGUUCUGACGGUACCCAAAGAAUAAGCACCGGCUAACUUCGUG